AUGCAAGUCGAACGAGUUCUGAUUAUUGAAAGGUGCUUGCAUCUUGAUUUAAUUUUGAACGAGUGGCGGACGGGUGAGUAACACGUGGGUAACCUGCCCUUAAGUGGGGGAUAACAUUUGGAAACAGAUGCUAAUACCGCAUAAAUCCAAGAACCGCAUGGUUCUUGGCUGAAAGAUGGCGUAAGCUAUCGCUUUUGGAUGGACCCGCGGCGUAUUAGCUAGUUGGUGAGGUAACGGCUCACCAAGGCAAUGAUACGUAGCCGAACUGAGAGGUUGAUCGGCCACAUUGGGACUGAGACACGGCCCAAACUCCUACGGGAGGCAGCAGUAGGGAAUCUUCCACAAUGGACGCAAGUCUGAUGGAGCAACGCCGCGUGAGUGAAGAAGGCUUUCGGGUCGUAAAACUCUGUUGUUGGAGAAGAAUGGUCGGCAGAGUAACUGUUGUCGGCGUGACGGUAUCCAACCAGAAAGCCACGGCUAACUACGUGCCAGCAGCCGCGGUAAUACGUAGGUGGCAAGCGUUAUCCGGAUUUAUUGGGCGUAAAGCGAGCGCAGGCGGUUUUUUAAGUCUGAUGUGAAAGCCCUCGGCUUAACCGAGGAAGUGCAUCGGAAACUGGGAAACUUGAGUGCAGAAGAGGACAGUGGAACUCCAUGUGUAGCGGUGAAAUGCGUAGAUAUAUGGAAGAACACCAGUGGCGAAGGCGGCUGUCUGGUCUGUAACUGACGCUGAGGCUCGAAAGCAUGGGUAGCGAACAGGAUUAGAUACCCUGGUAGUCCAUGCCGUAAACGAUGAAUGCUAGGUGUUGGAGGGUUUCCGCCCUUCAGUGCCGCAGCUAACGCAUUAAGCAUUCCGCCUGGGGAGUACGACCGCAAGGUUGAAACUCAAAGGAAUUGACGGGGGCCCGCACAAGCGGUGGAGCAUGUGGUUUAAUUCGAAGCAACGCGAAGAACCUUACCAGGUCUUGACAUCUUUUGAUCACCUGAGAGAUCAGGUUUCCCCUUCGGGGGCAAAAUGACAGGUGGUGCAUGGUUGUCGUCAGCUCGUGUCGUGAGAUGUUGGGUUAAGUCCCGCAACGAGCGCAACCCUUAUGACUAGUUGCCAGCAUUUAGUUGGGCACUCUAGUAAGACUGCCGGUGACAAACCGGAGGAAGGUGGGGAUGACGUCAAAUCAUCAUGCCCCUUAUGACCUGGGCUACACACGUGCUACAAUGGAUGGUACAACGAGUUGCGAGACCGCGAGGUCAAGCUAAUCUCUUAAAGCCAUUCUCAGUUCGGACUGUAGGCUGCAACUCGCCUACACGAAGUCGGAAUCGCUAGUAAUCGCGGAUCAGCACGCCGCGGUGAAUACGUUCCCGGGCCUUGUACACACCGCCCGUCACACCAUGAGAGUUUGUAACACCCGAAGCCGGUGGCGUAACCCUUUUAGGGAGCGAGCCGUCU
rnacentral:rRNA from 1 species